rnacentral:rRNA from 2 species
UGGGGAAUAUUGGGCAAUGGGCGCAAGCCUGACCCAGCAACGCCGCGUGAGGGAAGAAGGUCUUCGGAUUGUAAACCUCUGUCCUUGGGGACGAAAAAAAUGACGGUACCCAAGGAGGAAGCUCCGGCUAACUACGUGCCAGCAGCCGCGGUAAUACGUAGGGAGCGAGCGUUGUCCGGAAUUACUGGGCGUAAAGGGUGCGUAGGCGGCAUGGCAAGUCAGAUGUGAAAUUCCCGGGCUUAACUCGGGGGGUGCAUUUGAAACUGCUGAGCUUGAGUGCAGGAGAGGAAAGCGGAAUUCCUAGUGUAGCGGUGAAAUGCGUAGAUAUUAGGAGGAACACCAGUGGCGAAGGCGGCUUUCUGGACUGUAACUGACGCUGAGGCACGAAAGCGUGGGGAGCAAACAGG